GCUGAGAUUUCAACCUCUCCCUCUAAGAGGCAGCGACAUGCUUUUCCAAAUGCAGUCUGCAAUUUAAUCAAACAGCCAUCGAAUUUUCUGGAAUCCGGUCAACGCAGAGAUGCUUCGGAUUUUGACCGGUCAACGCUAGCUGCUUACCUGAGCUCCAACAGACCCAACAGUGAUAACGUCCUCCACCUCUGUUUCUGUUUGGAUGAUUAUGCUGUUUGGCUUCUUUCACCUCCGCAAGCUUGCUGCCAAUGUCGAAGGUAUGUCUCUGUGUGUUAUUGAAUUUGGGAGUGUUUGGUUGUGGGAACUGGAAUGAACUAAUGAAUGAAUGAACGACUGGAAACAUUCCCGAAGAGGUUGGAUCUUUACUUGGCAACCUUGCAAAACUGCGUUUCCUGUAUGAACCCCCAUCCUUUUGUUAGAGAAUAUCUGUCAUCUUUCUUUUUCAUUCGAUAUGCUAAUCUCCAGAGUCCAUUUUUAACAUCAAUUUAGGAAAAUUCUGAAGUUUUAACAUAGUUGACCAUCGUGGCGUUUUUGUUGACUUUUAGGGUUGACCGUUCAAUUUUCGUUGACUUUUUACAAAAUUUGCCCGGGAUCCCUCUUAGCGUAUUUUGAUGCUCUGAUUCCAAAUCUGCACUUCGUUUUCUCAAAUUUGAUCGUUUAAGUUGAGUUUUACUAAUGGGUCCCAAUAUUAUACUUGGGCGCGAUUAGUAUCAGAGAUUUCAACUUUCUUAGCUCAAAAGGAUGUGACAUCGUAAGUACCUGUGAGUGGGUCUUUUCUUAUAUAUAUAUAUAUAUAUGUUAGUUUCCAUUUAUAUAUUUGGUAAAGAAUUUUCUACGUUACACCUAGAUUAGGGUAACGUAUAUAAAAAUUAACGUAUUUACGGAAUUCAUGCAAUUAUACUACAUCUUACAGGAUACACAUGUAUGCGUAUUAGUAUGGAUGCUUUAAUGAUAUUUACGGUUAUGAAUAAUAUUUUGACUAGGGUUAUUGAAUUAUCAAAUUAUCAAUUUACCAUUGCAUGAUCAUAUUUGUGUUAUCUGCUUAUUGUGUGCUGCACUGGUGUUAGUACUUGCCUGAGCGAGGGCUAAUCUUUCAGGUGUAUGUUCAUAUCGCAUCAUAUGCUCACUUUGGAUCCAUUGUAGGUGCCAGUCAUGUCCUAGAUUGCGAUAGGCAAUUAGGACUCGUAUGUGACGCACUUAGCGCCCGUUCACGUGAUUGUAGUACUAGAGCGUGAAUCAUUAUUACAUCUAAUUCUGUUCAUGUCAGAAUACCUCUGCAUGAACUCAUGUGUCAACAUAUGCCAAUAUGGACUCGAUGUGAUAUGUUUAUUUUUGCGAGAUACUGUGAUUACUAGAAAUUAUGUACCUAUUUACAAAUUUUGUGACGUAUUGAAUUCUUGAGAUUUUGCAGGCUACGGUAAGUAUUUUCAUACUAUAUUUUGGAAAUAACCUCAAUUCAAUAAACAAUAGGUCAUAAUAAUUUAACAAAAAUUAAAAAUAAUUUUGUUUUUUGACAAAAUGAUCAAAAUAAUUGAUGAUGAAUAAAAUCAGAAAUCUCAUAACAAAGUUAAGAAUUGCAUAACAAUUUCAAGAAUCAGCUAAAAAGUCAAAAAUAAAUAUAAACAAAUGAAGAAACGAAACUUCCGAUGCGGCGGGCUACAGCUUUGCCUGAUUUUGCUGUUUAUUUUAACGAAAAAUCAUAUUUUUACACUAAAAAGUCAAUCAUGAUACUUUUCACUUUACUCUUUAUUUUAUCAUUAUCGUUAAAACUCAAAAUUUUCAAAUCAUUUUAAUUAGUUUUUCUUUAAAAUAAUUUAUAGUGGAUAAAACCAGAAAUCUCAUUUUGAGUGAGGAGUUGCAUAACAAUUUCAGGAAUCCACUAAAAAGUAAAAAAUAAAUAUAAACAAAAGAAGAAACGAAACUUGCGACGUGGUGGGCUGCGACUUAAGACUGAUUGAGAGUCCUCUAUCCGCAGCUCCUCCGUCUUCCCCCCGAACCUUUUACCUUUCUUUCUUUCUUCUCCAAGACUAGCAAGCUGAGAUUUCAACCCGUCUCUCUAAGAAGCAGCGGCAUGCUUUUCCAAACGCAAUCUGCAAUUUAAUCAAACAGCCACCGAAUUUUCUGGAAUCCGGUCAACGCAGCGAUGCUCCGGAUUUUGAUCGGUCAACGCCAGCUGCUUACCUGAGCUCCAAAAGACCCAACAGUGAUGACGUCCUCCACCUCUGUUUCUGUUUGGCUGAUUCUGCUGUUUGGCUUCUUUCACCUCCACAAGCUUGCUGCCAAUGUCGAAGGUAAUGCUCUGUGUGUUAUUGAAUUUGGGAGUGUUUGGUUGUGGGAACUGGAAUGAACUAAUGAAUGAAUGAAUGACUGGAAACAUUCCCGAAGAGCUUGGGGGUUUGUCGGACUUGGUGAGCUGGAUCAUUACUUGGCAACCUUGCAAAACUGCGUUUCCUGUAUGAACCCCCAUCCUUUUGUUAGAUAAAAUCUGUCGUCUUUCUUUUUCAUUCGAUAUGCUAAUCUACUGUUUUUAAUUGUUCCUUUGGAGUGACUUUCUUCCUUAAAGUCCAUGAUAGCAUUUCGGUUAAACCCAAAAUAUUACUUGGGUUGACUAUGAUCUCCCAAUAUUCUGGUCAAGGCACAAUACAAAACAAGUGAUAAAACAAUACGAAAAAAGAACAAAACAUGGGAAAACACGUAAUUGGAACCUUGAAGGCAAAUAUUCCAUGUGCCGGAUGCAUACAAUUUAAAAUAUGACCCCUGUCUUCAAGAUUCAUAAGAAGGGAACAUCCAAUCAUUGCAAGUCCUGUGGGUUUCAUACACUUUCAUCUCUGUAAGAGGGAGGAAGAGCGAAAAGUUACUAAUUUCUCCGCUAUCAGAGAAUGCUAAUAACAUUUAGUUUUGCCAUGGAAUGCAGGGAUCUUUCAAAUAACAAUCUGACGGGGGAUCUUUUUCACUUUUUACUCCCAUCACAGGUUUGUUCUAAAGUGAAUUACAUGCAGGUUUUUACAACUUAUACUUUUUCACUUUUAACGGGCUGAGCCCAAAUCCUAAACUUAUUACUUUCCAGAUGGCUCUGUUUUGUUCCACUUCCAGCCUCUCCACAUCCAGGUUUUUACAACUUAUACUGUUCUUGUGAUAUUAACUCAAAUUUAUUCUGAGAGCUGGCUCUAUUUUGUUUCACAGACACUUGUGAUAUCAACUCCAGUCCAGUCCUAGUUAAUGUUUUUUUUGGUGUUUUUCUGUUAAAACUUUUCGUAAUACAACAUUAUUGUUGGAAUCACUGCUGUAAAGAUUUUAAGAAGAUGGUAGUUAGGAAAGGAAUAGAUUGAGGGUAUUUAUAUUAUUCUGAUUAGAAAGUUAAGUGAAUUUAUUGUUUUUGAUUUGUAAACAAAUUGCUUACAAAUAAUCAAAUUCUAUUAAACAAAAAUAAUUGCUUACAAUAAAGUAUAACUAUAAAUAUCAUUGUAAAAUGUAUUUUAUAAAUAUUUUUAAUUUAUGUUUUUUAACGAAUUGAGAACGAAUCAAACUGAAUAUCAUAUUGUCUAUGUGUCUUUGGCAAAUGAUACUACAGGUUACUACCGAAUUUCGUACCUUAACCGAAUUGCGAACUCGAACCAUACCCUGUAUGUGGCAACUAUGGGUGCCAAGUACUGGGGCUAUUUCUGGAGGGGGGCUAUUGCUGGAGGGGUUGCUGCUGGUUCUGCUUUCCUGUUUGCUGCACUUGCAAUUGCAUUUGCUUAUUGUCGACGAAGAAAAUCACAGGAUUAUUUCUUUGAUGAACCUGGUUAGUGAACUAUUAAGAGUAAUAUAGCUUGAUCAAGUUGGCAUUGUAUGGGAUGCAGGUUUCACUCAUCUACUGUCUUUGCAGCUGAGAAGGAUCCAGAAGUUCAUUUACGACAGUUCAAAAGGUUCUUUGAGCGAGCUACAAGUUGCGACGGAUACCUUUAGCGACAAAAAUAUUCUUGGUAGUGGUGGAUUUGGUAAGGUUUAUAAAGGACGCUUAGAUGAUGGAACUCUGGUUGCUGUAAAAAGACUUAAAGAGGAGAGAACCCAAGGCGGGGAGCUACAGUUCCAAACAGAAGUUGAAAUGAUUAGCAUGGCUGUCCACCGCAAUCUGCUUCGUGUGCAUGGUUUUUGCACGACACCAACAGAAAGGCUGCUUGUAUAUCCUUUUAUGGCCAAUGGAAGUGUGGCAUCAUGUUUAAGAGGUACUCAUCUAAAUUGUUUGCUGCGUUGAUGAAUCUUUUUGUUUUCAUGACAUUAAAAUUUUUUUGGAUUACAUUGAUAUAAUGAACCUGACCAAUUUGGUUUGGAGUAUGAACACUGAUUUUUUUUUUUUAAUGUUUUUUUUUUCCUUCAAUUUUAAGUUAUCUUCUCGAUGCUGAUUUUAUUUUGUUUAAUUUGAAAAGGAUGACAAGAUGACCCUUUUUUGGGUAGGACGGGUGGUAUGAUAUGUGUUAGACCACAUUACCUGUUGCUUGUAAUUUGAAAUUCUCCUCUCAUAAGUAUGUGGAUAUAUUAUUGUAGAUCGUCCAGAAGGACAACCUGCACUUGAUUGGCCAAUAAGACAACGCAUUGCAUUGGGAUCUGCAAAAGGUCUUGCUUAUUUACAUGAUCACUGUGAUCCAAAAAUUAUUCACCGUGAUGUGAAAGCAGCAAACAUAUUGUUGGAUGUGGAAUUCGAAGCAGUUGUUGGAGACUUUGGGUUGGCUAAACUCAUGGACUACAGGGAUACACAUGUUACCACAGCUGUACGUGGCACAAUUGGUCAUAUAGCACCAGAGUACUUUUCAACUGGAAAAUGUUCCGAGAAAACUGAUGUUUUUGGAUACGGAGUCAUGCUUCUUGAACUCAUCACUGGGCAGAGGGCUUUUGAUCCUCAGCUUGCGAGUCAUGAUGACCCCAUGUUAGUUGAUUGGGUAUGCAUUUACAUCUUUCUGUUUGUGUAUGUAGCUAAUUUAUUGUUAUAUGCAAGAUUAUUAUUUCUUGGGAGCAGCCUCUCCAUAAAUGGGGGUAAGGCUAGCCGACAUUCACCUCUUCCAGACCCUGCGUAAAGCGGGAGCCUUGUGCACUGGGUACGACCUUUAUGCAAGAUUAUUAUUUCCCAACAACAUUUGCAUUUCCUUAGUAAUUAGCUUUUAGAAAAUAAGUUUGGUUUAAUUAGCUUUUAUUAGUUAGAGUUGUGAUUAGCUGUGAAGAUUUGUUUAUCUUUAUUUAUAACAAUCUAAGGUUUAAGCUGUCAGAGUUAAUUUUUGCAUUUCCUUAGUAAUUGUUACCAUUCCUGUUUGAUUAAUGUAAAAAUCACUUGUCUUUUUGGCCCGAAUGUUGAAAACAGUAAGAAUCAUGGAUCAAAGAAAAGAAAUAAUACUUAACUUUUAGAAAAUAACUUUAGUUUAAUUGGCUUUUAUUAGUUAGAGUUACGAUUAAGCUGUGAAGAUAUAUUUAUCUUUAUUUAUGACAAUCUAAGGUUUAAAUUGUCAGAGAUUAAUUAUUACAUUUCCUUGGUAAUUGUUGUUAGUAUUGUUGUUGCUUCUUUUGCCAAUGUAUUGGCCUUGCUGUGAUUUCUUGAAGAAUUUGGCAUGUGUUUUGUAUCGAUCCUAAUUUCCUCAUCAUCUCUUUAUUCUCGCUAUCUUGGCCUCUUGCUUCUUUCUAUUCUCUCUAUUUGCAUCUUUGUCAAUUGUUAUAUUUGAAUGACGAUGCAUUUUUGUAAGCUAUUUGAUUUUCUGGAGAUACUGCGGCCCUUCAAAUUUUGAACAUUACAACACAUUUUCACUCUCCUAGGUGCCCUCACCUUUUGUUUCAAAUUGUAGAACUAUCUGACGUUUUCCGUUUUAUUUUAACUAAAACAAUUAGGUCAAAAGACUACUGAAAGAUCGAAGGUUGGAAACACUUGUUGAUGCUGAUCUAAAUGGUAAUUAUGUUGACGAUCAAGUGGAGCAGCUCAUCCAAGUAGCUCUACUGUGCACACAAGGCACCCCAGGGGAACGACCCAAGAUGUCAGAGGUUGUUCGGAUGCUGGAAGGCAAUGGUUUGGCUGAAAGAUGGGAGGAGUGGCAAAAAGAGUAGGUGUUCCACCAAGAUUUCAACCCUAUUCAUCAUCCAAGUACUAAUUGUAUCAUAGACUCAACUUUUCAUAUUCCUCCUGAUGAGUUGUCCGGUCCCAAAUGAUAUGCUCGUUGGUUCUGUCCCCUGUAUACAUCUAAGAAGCCUUCAGAGGACUGGAGAAUGUCCAUUUCGUAUUUCAGUGAUACCACAUUUGUGCUUAUGUUUUGUCUUUGUUUUCAAUUUUGGUUUUGUCUUGCGUAUUUUUUAGAUCAUAAAAUGGAGCUGAUGCUAUUGUAAUUUGGGAUGUGCUAUCCACACAUCACUUUUUACUUCUCACACACCCCUUGUUAAUUUCUGUCCGUUGAUCUUCUUCAAUUCAUCUGAUCCGACGGCCGAAAACCAAAAAGGUGUGGGAGAAGUAAAAAGGGGUGUGUGGAUAUCACACCCCUUGUAAGUUUUAUAGGGUCAACUGGCAUUACGAAGUUAUAUGGUGCUAGCAGGAAUUAGGAAGGGCCAUAAAAGCACUCAUUCCUGAUGAUUUAUGUAUCUAUCUAGAAAUUAGUCUAAAUUGUCGAGUAAAUAAUCAUUCUAAACUUAUAACCAUCUAUAUAUUUUAGUGUUCCUAUAGAUCCUGUAGAUACGAUAAGGACACUAGGUCAAGUGCAUGGCUGGUUGCGGAUGGAUAGUGUUUGAAAUUUCAUUGUGAUCAUUGCAAGUGCGAAUUUGUGGCACCACCUUUAUAAGUACUUGAACUAAGGCAGUAGGGGAUCAGGAGAUCACUUUGUGUCAUUCCAACACAGGAAUUCGAGCUUUGUCUAAUCUCUUUAGAGUAUCGCCAAUGGGGAUCCCUCUACUAUCUUUGAGGAUUUAUUUAGGACUAGCUGUAGGGUAAGACCUAAACCUAAAUAUUUGAGUUUAAACAAAAUAAAAAUGCAAUCUAAUUGUGGGACUUUUUUGUUUUUUAUGAACAAAAAAAUAUUAUCUGGAUUGAGUUAAGCCUUAUAGUGGGCUAGUAAUGACCUCUCUUACAUGUGAAGAGGAAUACUAUUAAACCGUAGUACUAGGUAAUAUCUAAUGGUUGGACUUAAACCUAAAAGGUUUGGCUUUUGACCAAGCUAAACCCAAAUUUGGGUUUGUAUUUGGCUGACCCAAAUUUUUGGGGGCCCUACCUUUUUUUCUGAAAAGCAACGGGCCAAUGAUUUAUUGAAGUGGCCGCGGCAUAUGGGUUAGGGGUGGUUCGGUAUGGGAUCCCAUACCAAAACACUUGUCCCGAUUCUCAAACCGAAAUUUUCGGGAAUCCCAAUUUCAAUACCGAUCCCAAACCAAAUUUUCGGGAAUCCCAAUUUUUGGGAAUCCCAAAAUAGUUUCGGGAUUUCGGGACAAAUCGGGAAUCCCGAAAUGGUUUUGGGCUUUUGGGCUUUUAGACUAAAAUUUGACAUAUUAUGCUUUUAGGCCCAAUCUGCCAAUUUGUUUCUACAAAUCUGCCAAUCAAAUCUGCCAAUCAAAUGGCAAGGCUUGUUUCUACUAAUCUCUACUUAAUAUUAAUACUAACACUUAGUUUUCAUUUCGAUGCAGAGAGUGAUGGAUCAACUGCAAAAUAGUGAAAGAAAACUAAGAAGCUCAAAACUGUACACAAAAACCAAAAUCAAGCAAAACGAAGAAGCUCAAAACUGAACAUUGCAAAGUAAACGCCAGAAACUGAGCACAGAAACUGAGCAAGCAUGCCAAGAAUCAAAGCAAACCCCACAAGAGUCAAGAAAUGAUAAUUGAGUCAUUCGAAGAGUACCCAGACAAGUUCUGUGCACAAAUUUGACAAUAUGGCUAGCAAAUAGCAAGCAAACAACAAAUAAUUAACAAGAACUAGUAACAGUGAGCAGAAUCAUAAGGUCUGAUUAGCUCACCUUCAUCAAGCACAAUUCCGACGUUCAAUCCCUUGAAAACAUCAGAUUCAGCCAGCUUCUCAGCACCGUCGUGUCCCCCAAUCUCCUCAUCAGGACCAUAUGACAAAUAAACAGACCUUUUGGGCUUAAACCCAGAAGCCUUGAGCCGUCGAAUCGCCUCCAAGUACUGAAUCCCGACGCACUUCAUGUCCUGGGACCCCCUGGCGUAAACGUCGCCGUUCGAGUCCAAGUUGGCCGAGAAAGGGGGGGUGUAACCACUUGUCGUGCUCGGCCGGAACGAUGUCGGUGUGGGAAUUGAGAAGAACAGAGGAGAGAGAGAUGAGAUGAGGGCUUGUCGGCUAGAUGAGGGAGAGAUCAGAGAUGAGAGAUUAGGGCUCGGCUAUUCGAUUUGAUAGAAACAAUGGAACGAAAGUGAAGUUUGUGAAAUGGUAUUCUGACCUAAAAACAUAUGAACGGCAAAGAUUAAAUCCAAAACAAUGAACGGUUGAAAUAAUUCUUUUAUAAUUAAAAGAAAAAAAAAAAAUAUAUAUAUAUAUAAUAUUUAUUUUCGAUUCGGUCUGGGAAUACCGAAAAUUUGAGAUUCAAAACCGAAUCCCAUACCGAAAAUAUCGGUUUGGUUCGGGAUUACAUACCGAAAAUUUCGGGAUUUUUGGUUUGGGAUUUUUUUGGUUUGAGAUCGGGAUUUUUUUGGUUUGGUUUGGGAUUUUUGGGAUUUUUUUCCGGGUUCCUCAUGCCAGCUGCAAAACAAUUUCAGGAAUCAGCUAAAAAGUCAAAAAUAAAUAUAAAUAAAAGAAGAAACGGAACUUCCAACGCGGUGGGCUGCGACUUUGCCUGAUUCUGCUAUUUAUUUUAACGAAAAAUCAUAUUUUUACAUUAAAAAGUCAAUCAUGAUACUUUACCUUUUAUUUUAUUAUUAUCGUUAAAACUCAAAUUUUUCAAACUAUUUUCAUUAAUUUUUCUUUAAAAUAAUUUAUAAUGCAUAAAACCAGAAAUCUCAUUUUGAGUGAGAAGUUGCAUAAACAAUGUCAGGAAUCCGCUGAAAAGUAAAAAAUAAAUAUAAACAAAAGAAGAAACGAAACUUCCGACGCGGUGGGCUGCGACUUAGACUGAUUGAGAGUCAUGUAUCCGCAGCUCCUCCGUCUUCCUCCCAAACCUUUUACCUUUUCUUUCUUUCUUCUCCAAAACUAGCAAUCUGAGAUUUCAACCUCUCUCUCUAAGAAGCAGCGGCAUGCUUUUCCAAACGCAAUCUGCAAUUUAAUCAAACAGCCACCGAAUUUUCUGGAAUCCGGUCAACGCAGCGAUGCUCCGGAUUUUGAUCGGUCAACGCCAGCUGCUUACCUGAGCUCCAAAAGACCCAACAGUGAUGACGUCUUCCACCUCUGUUUCUGUUUGGCUGAUUCUGCUGUUUGGCUUCUUUCACCUCCACAAGCUUGCAGCCAAUGUCGAGGGUAUGUCUCUGUGUGUUAUUGAAUUUGGGAGUGUUUGGUUGUGGGAACUGGAAUGAACUAAUGAAUGAAUGAAUGACUGGAAACAUUCCCGAAGAGCUUGGGGGUUUGUCAGACUUGGUGAGCUUGGAUCUUUACUUGGCAAC
rnacentral:lncRNA from 1 species